rnacentral:rRNA from 1 species
CGCCUCUUGCAAUCCACAUAUAAGAGGUAACGCCUGCCCAGUGACCAUGUGUUCAACGGCCGCGGUAUUCUGACCGUGCAAAGGUAGCGUAAUCACUUGUCUUUUAAAUAAAGACUAGUAUGAAUGGCAUCACGAGAGUUCAACUGUCUCCCACACCCAAUCAGUGAAACUGAUCUCCCCGUGCAGAAGCGGGGAUAAAACCAUAAGACGAGAAGACCCCAUGGAGCUUUAAACUAAAGGCACUAGCCCCUAACUCACCCCCCAGGGUAAAACCAUUUUAACCGGCUAAAGUGACCUGUCGUUUUCGGUUGGGGCGACCACGGAGAAAAACAAAUCCUCCGAGAUGAAGGGGAUAACCCUUAGCCAAGACCAACAAUUCUAAGCAAUAGAACGUCUAACGCACUGAUCCAAUCAAAUUGAUCAACGAACCAAGUUACCCUGGGGAUAACAGCGCAAUCUAUUUUCAGAGUUCAUAUCGACAAAUAGGUUUACGACCUCGAUGUUGGAUCAGGGCCUCCUAGCGGUGCAGCCGCUGCUAAGGGUUCGUUUGUUCAACGAUUAAAGCCCUACGUGAUCUGAGUUCAGACCGGAGUAAUCCAGGUCAGUUUCUAUCUAU